CUGAAUAAAAGCUCUCGGACAAGAUAUCAUCAUUGAACUUUUUUGACUUGUUGAAAGAGAUCAAGUACCUUUUCUUUGUUUGAAUCUCGGUAACUCCAGUAAUUCCGUCUCAGACCAUCUGCAGGAAUACAAUAUUCUUUCUCAGACAUUCAAGAAAUGAACAUAACUGCCCCUCAGGCCUUUAUAGAAUAAAAAUCUGCAAUUUUAAUAACUUCCUUGUGGCAUUUUCACAUUUGGUAAGCCACCAUGGCGAAUCUCCACAGUUUUGACGUUCCUCAGAGACUUCUCUCCAUGCUGACCAAAGCUGCAGGUGUUUUUGUUCUCCUGGCUGUCUUCAUUCUGGAAUACAUAUUGAACUUGAACUUUCCAUGCUUCUGCAGGCCUGCAUGGGAAAGCCCACUACAUAUAGGCCCUCAUGGCUUACUGUACAUACUGUGCCCACCCACUAUAAUAACUUGUGCUAUCAUGCUAGUUGAUAAGAUGUACCAGAAGACGUUUUCCAGCAAGAGAUGCAGUGGGUGCUGCACAAAUUAUAACUGCUGCAAUUGCUUCUUUUCACUUACCAAACUUGGGAUCACAUUUCUGUCUGUAGUAUUCUACUGGAUAGCUGCUGUUUUCAUAGAUGGAGAAUGGUAUGUGUGCUAUCAGACCAACAACCAUCCAAAACAAGUUGGAAUUCCCUGUAAAGAAACGGAAAACCUGACCUAUGACGAGAGACUUGUCCUCACUGAUUACAAGACUGACUCAGUUGUCAUUGGCUUGCCUCUGGUUACCUUGGGCCUUGUUUUCUGGCACAUGUGUGAGUGCUGCUUCACCUGUCUCAAAAGAACAAACAACCGCUGCCAUCUUAAUCAACCAUAUUAUGAAAGGUUGUAUGAAGAAAUUCUUUCAGAGGAGGUGAACAAUCAUUUGAAGAAUGAACUGCAGGAAAUUGCGAAAGAGAGGGCCGAGAGGAUCUGUCUUCGGCCCCUUCAGUUCAUCAGGAGAGGGGAUCCUGGGAAUUCAUGGCAAGAUAUUUCAAACUCUGAUUUCUUUUUGUCAGACCAAUAUCAGGAGUCAGUGGGCACAGAAGAGUCAUAGGUUACUGAAGACUCAGCCCAGUGCGUGUUAAGAUUUUUAAAAGAUAUAAAAAAUCAUAAAAAAUGAAUUUUCCGGAUGUUGAAAAUGUCUUUUACAUACAUGGAAUAACAUUCAUUUUCAGUUCUAAAUGAAACUUGAAAUGACGUCUUCUACAGACAUUGAAAAUAUAUGUUUGUUGGCAAAAAAAAUUCUAUAGCCAAAUUUCAAUCGUACAUAGUUUUUCCCUUUAAAUAUUACUGAAGAAAGCCUUAUGUCACGCUCAAAAGUUUUAUUUUCAAUAACAUAAUGAAUAUUGCAGUAUAGAAUAUUUUAUUAUUCACAUUUAUCACUCGCACUUAUGUUAGUCUUUUCGAAAGCUUCAGGACUGAAAGUAAUCAUAUUCAACAUUUCCUGACACAACCAACAGAACAUACACUACCACAACAUUCUCAGUAACAGUUACAAAAACGUUUUACUUGCUAUGAUUCUGAUAUGUGGUUGAAUGCACUGACUCUGGAUAAGAAUGUCUGCUGAAUUACCUAAAUGUAGAAAUGAACACUUGUGAUUGAGACCCCAUCCUCAGUAGCCUUUUCCAGCGUUUACUUCUUACGUUGUUACAAGUUACAUCAACUUUCCUUCUUAAUUCACUCAGUAACGUUAUGGGAAAAGGAUUAUAGACAUCUGUUUCACAAGUUUGGACAGCACAGACCAGUAUAGCACAAUAUAGUACAUUAUACUGUGCUCUACUUUACCAUACUGUAGUGUACUGAGCUGUACUCUACUCAACUAUACUCUACUUUACUUUAAUGUACUGCACUGUCCAAACUUGUGAAACAUAUGUCUAUGAUAAUGUUAUGUACUGUGCUCUGCUCUGCUGUACUGUGCUGUCCAAACCUGUGAAAUGGAGGUCUAUGAAUGCUUCAGAUCUAGACCAAAUAUGAACCAAUCAUAGACCUCUGUUUUGGCUAAAUAAAAGCCAGCCUGGACCAGACCAAAUCUGAACCGAAAAGGGGCCAAAUCAAGGCCUGUCCUAACCGUACCAAAAAUAUGACGUCUGUGAACGUUGGCCAAAUCAAGGCCAGGGUGGAACAACCAAAUUCCAACUACUUUUCAAUGUCCAUGGACGUCCGGCAUCGGUUGGUGCUCAGUGGGAGAAGAGUGUAAGGGUUUUAUUCAAAAAGAUACUUAGUCAGGUUCUUCUUGGUUAGCAUUUCUUGUGCUGCAAUAACCAUUCUGAUUCAAGCUUAAUAAACUAUGUUUAUACAGCAUUAAAGAUAAACUUUAAUCAAUACAUAAUUGUAGAGUAAAUACUGCCACUUAGAGGAGAUAAAUAGCUAAUGUGUUAAAACAGGUAAUGUAGGAACAGAAGUGCCAAGUUCAAGUGUUGCUGUCCGUCUUUAUUCAUGUGACACACUAAUAACCGUGUUAUAUAUUAUUAGAAAGGCUCUCAAGGUGUUUGGGAAAAUUGUUAUAUGACCAAUACUGUAGCAUGCUACUCUGCUUAUUCCGCUGCUCUGCUUAUUCCGCUACUCUGCUUAUUCCGCUGCUCUGCUUAUUCCGCUGCUCUGCUUAUUCCGCUGCUCUGCUUAUUCCGCUGCUCUGCUUAUUCCGCUACUCUGCUUAUUCCGCUGCUCUGCUUAUUCCCCACUGGUGAUUAUUUCAAAGAUCUCAAUGACAUUACAUUUAGACAACACUGUCACUGAUGUAAAACCUACUGGCUAGAAAAAGUAUGUGAACCCGUUGGAAUUACCUGGAUUUCUGCAUAAAUUGGUCCUAAAAUUUGAUCUGAUCUUUUUCAAGUCACGACUUUUUUAAGUCACAACAAUAGAAAAACAGUGUGCUUAAACUAAUAAGCCACUGCUGUCCAAAAAAAAACAUUGCUGCACAUCUGAAGUUCGCAAAAGAGUUCCAUAGUGCAACUGGCAAAAUAUUCUGUGGGCAGAUGAAACUUAAGUUGAGUUGUUUUUAAGGAACACUAUGUAAAGUAUGGUGGAGGGAGCAUCAUGGUCUGGGGCUGCUUUGCUGCCUCAGGGCCUGCACAGCUUGCUAUCAUCAACGGAAACUUGGGAAUACAUUUUUAUCAAGACAUUUUGUAGGAGAAUGUAAGGUGGUCUGUCUGCCAAUUGAAACUCAACAGAAGUUGGGUGAUGCAACAGGACAACAACCCAAAACACAGAAGUAAAUCAACAACAGAAUGGCUUCAACAGAAGAAAAUACGCCUCCUGGAGUGGCCCAGUCAGUCCUGACCUCAAACCGAUUGAGAUGCUGUGGUAUGACCUCGAGCGGUUCACACCAGACAUCCCAAGAAUAUUGCUGAGCUGAAACCGUAUUCGACAGAGGAACAGUCCAAAAUUCCUCCUGAUCGUUGUGCAGGUCUGUUCCGCAACUACAGAAAAUAUUUGGUUGAAGUUAUUGCUGUCAAAGGAGGGUCAACCAGUUAUUAAAUCCAAGGGUUCACAUGCUUUCCCUAACCUGCACUAUGAAUGUUUACAUGGCGUCUUUAUUAAACACAUGAAAACGUAUCAUUGUUUGUGUGUUAUCAGUUAAUUAAGAACUGUGUUUGUCUAUUGUUGUGAUUUCGAUGAAGAUCAGAAAUUUGAUGACCAAUUUAUGCAGAAAUCCAGGUAAUUCCAAAGGGUUCACAUACUUCUUCUUGCCACUGUAUGUACUUUGGAAAUUACUUUGUAUCAUCAUAAUCCUACCAUUUUAUUACCAAAUGUUUUGAUAAACCAUAAUGUGUUUUUGUAUUGAUUUUAAGGUUGCUUAGUCAAAAAUAAAAUUGCAAUAAGGUU